rnacentral:lncRNA from 1 species
AAAAAGAAUCUGGUUGAAACCUCAGUAACAAUCGGCCUGUCUACUGCCUCACACUAACAAGUGACCACACCUUUACAACUGUCUGUAAUUCUCACUAGCAGUAUAUUAGAGGGCAAAAGAUUUGAACAGACAUAUCAGAAAAGAAGACAUACAAAUGGCCACUAAGCACUUAAAAGGAUUCUGAACAUCAUUAGUCAUCAGUGAAAUGCAAAUUAAAGCCAUAAUGAAUGACGCUAUACAUUUUCAGAAUGGCAAGGACUAAAGACUGAAAAAAAUCAAGCGUUGAGGAGAGUGACAAAUGGGGAGACAGCUGUGGUGCAUGAUCGCAGAAGAAAUACCAUGUGAGGAUACAGCAAGAAGUUGGCCAUCUACAAGCCAAGGAGACAGGCCUCAGAAGAAACCAACCCUUCUUACACCCUGGACUCAGACUUCUAACCUCCAGAACUUGUUAAUGCACAAGGUCUUUUGUUGAAAAUGUAGAGCUACAAGAUAAAAGCAGCUUGGAUGGCUGACUCAUAUACAAGGACAACUGCCUGAGAGUCACCAGGACUAUCAAGAAGUUUGCAGAAACAAGAAAUACACUUUUACUGUUUUUAAACUUUUGUGAAUUUUGGGUUUUGUUUACCACCGAAUAAACCUAGUCUAUUCUGAUUGUUAUAAGUGGUUAAUUUGGGAAGUCAGAUAUAUUUAAAAUUGGCUUACUGCUGCAACAUAUACAGUCCAAAUUACAUAAUGGCUCAAAUGCAAUAGAAGUCUUUUUUUUUUUUUUUUUUUUUUUUUUGCUCACAUAUCACUUCAUUGAGAUUCUGCAUUAAUUGUAAUGAUGAGGGUGGGGGUGUCUUAUAUCAUACAGUUGUUCAGCAACCCAGGAUGACCAACUUUGUAAUAUUUUUUCCCACUGGCUUCUAAAGUUCU